rnacentral:rRNA from 1 species
AUUGAACGCUGGCGGCAUGCCUUACACAUGCAAGUCGAACGGCAGCACGGGAGCAAUCCUGGUGGCGAGUGGCGAACGGGUGAGUAAUAUAUCGGAACGUGCCCAGUCGUGGGGGAUAACGUAGCGAAAGCUACGCUAAUACCGCAUACGAUCUAUGGAUGAAAGCGGGGGAUCGCAAGACCUCGCGCGAUUGGAGCGGCCGAUAUCAGAUUAGGUAGUUGGUGAGGUAAAGGCUCACCAAGCCGACGAUCUGUAGCUGGUCUGAGAGGACGACCAGCCACACUGGGACGGAGACACGGCCCAGACUCCUACGGGAGGCAGCAGUGGGGAAUUUUGGACAAUGGGCGCAAGCCUGAUCCAGCAAUGCCGCGUGCAGGAUGAAGGCCUUCGGGUUGUAAACUGCUUUUGUACGGAACGAAACGGCGAGCUCUAAUACAGUUUGCUAAUGACGGUACCGUAAGAAUAAGCACCGGCUAACUACGUGCCAGCAGCCGCAGUAA